rnacentral:ribozyme from 1 species
UUAUAUUAUAUAUUUUAAUAAAAAAAAAAAAAAAAAAAAAAGAUGUUAUCUUUCAC